GAAGGACUAUGGAGCGUCAGGUGAG
rnacentral:piRNA from 1 species